rnacentral:rRNA from 2 species
UAUUAGAGCGUCGCAAUGACUCUCGGCAACGGAUAUCUCGGCUCUCGCAUCGAUGAAGAACGUAGCGAAAUGCGAUACUUGGUGUGAAUUGCAGAAUCCCGUGAACCAUCGAGUCUUUGAACGCAAGUUGCGCCCGAAGCCUUUCGGCCGAGGGCACGUCUGCCUGGGCGUCACGC